rnacentral:rRNA from 1 species
AAUCUUCCGCAAUGGACGCAAGUCUGACGGAGCGACGCCGCGUGAGUGAUGAAGGUCUUCGGAUCGUCCCACUCUGUUGUUAGGGAAGAACAAGUAUCGGAGGAAUAUGUCGGUACCUUGACGGUACCUAACCAGACAGCCCCGGCUAACUACGUGCCAGCAGCCGCGGUAAUACGUAGGGGGCAAGCGUUGUCCGGAAUUAUUGGGCGUAAAAGGCAUGCAGGCGGUUAUGUAAGUCUGAUGUGAAAUCUUGUAGCUUAACUACAGGCAGUCAUUGGAAACUGCGUAACUUGAGUACAGAAGAGGAGAGUGGAAUUCCACGUGUAGCGGUGAAAUGCGUAGAGAUGUGGAGGAACACCAGUGGCGAAGGCGGCUCUCUGGUCUGUAACUGACGCUGAGAUGCGAAAGCGUGGGUAGCGAACA